GGAAUUUUCCGCAAUGGGCGAAAGCCUGACGGAGUGACGCCGCGUGGGGGACGAAGGCCUUCGGGUCGUAAACCCCUGUCAGAGGGAAAGAGGGGUGUCGGCGCGAUAACCGCCGGCAUCUGACGGUACCUUCAGAGGAAGCCCCGGCCAACUCUGUGCCAGCCGCCGCGGGAAGACAGAGGGGGCAAGCGUUGCGCGGAAUCACUGGGCGUAAAGGGCGCGUAGGCGGGAUGGCAAGUCGGUCGUGAAAUCUCUCGGCCCAACCGAGAAACGUCGGCCGAUACUGCCGUUCUUGAGGGAUGCAGAGGAUACUGGAAUUCCCGGUGUAGCGGUGAAAUGUGUAGAGAUCGGGAGGAACACCGGUGGCGAAGGCGGGUCUCUGGGCAUCUCCUGACGCUGAGGCGCGAAAGCGUGGGGAGCAA
rnacentral:rRNA from 1 species